GUGAGGAAUAUUGGUCAAUGGGCGAGAGCCUGAACCAGCCAAGUAGCGUGAAGGAUGAAGGUCCUACGGAUUGUAAACUUCUUUUAUACGGGAAUAAAGUUUCCUACGUGUAGGAUUUUGUAUGUACCGUAUGAAUAAGCAUCGGCUAACUCCGUGCCAGCAGCCGCGGUAAUACGGAGGAUGCGAGCGUUAUCCGGAUUUAUUGGGUUUAAAGGGAGCGCAGACGGGAGAUUAAGUCAGUUGUGAAAGUUUGCGGCUCAACCGUAAAAUUGCAGUUGAUACUGGUUUCCUUGAGUGCAGUUGAGGCAGGCGGAAUUCGUGGUGUAGCGGUGAAAUGCUUAGAUAUCACGAAGAACCCCGAUUGCGAAGGCAGCUUGCUAAACUGUAACUGACGUUCAUGCUCGAAAGUGUGGGUAUCAAACAGGA
rnacentral:rRNA from 1 species